UACGUAGGUGGCAAGCGUUGUCCGGAUUUACUGGGCGUAAAGAGCGCGCAGGCGGUCGUUCAAGUCGCGUGUGAAAGCCCCAGGCUCAACUGGGGAGGGUCACGCGAUACUGAUCGACUCGAAGGCAGGAGAGGGUAGUGGAAUUCCCGGUGUAGUGGUGAAAUGCGUAGAUAUCGGGAGGAACACCAGUGGCGAAGGCGACUACCUGGCCUGUUCUUGACGCUGAGGCGCGAAAGCUAGGGGAGCAAACGGG
rnacentral:rRNA from 1 species